GAUGAACGCUGGCGGCGUGCCUAAUACAUGCAAGUCGAGCGAACGGACGAGAAGCUUGCUUCUCUGAUGUUAGCGGCGGACGGGUGAGUAACACGUGGAUAACCUACCUAUAAGACUGGGAUAACUUCGGGAAACCGGAGCUAAUACCGGAUAAUAUUUUGAACCGCAUGGUUCAAAAGUGAAAGACGGUCUUGCUGUCACUUAUAGCUGGAUCCGCGCUGCAUUAUCUAGUUGGUAAGGUAACGGCUUACCAAGGCAACGAUGCAUAGCCGACCUGAGAGGGUGAUAGGCCACACGGGAACUGAGACACGGUCCAGACGCCUACGGGAGGCAGCAGUAGGGAAUCUUCCGCAAUGGGCGAAAGCCUGACGGAGCAACGCCGCGUGAGUGAUGAAGGUCUUCGGAUCGUAAAACUCUGUUAUUAGGGAAGAACAGAUGUGUAAGUAACUGUGCACAUCUUGACGGUACCUAAUCAGAAAGCCACGGCUAACUACGUG
rnacentral:rRNA from 1 species